UGCAUAUCMAAAAAGCGGAGGAAAAGAAACUAACAAGGAUUCCCCUAGUAGCGGCGAGCGAAGCGGGAAGAGCUCAAAUUUAUAAUCUGGCACCUUCGGUGUCCGAGUUGUAAUCUCUAGAAAUGUUUUCCGCGUUGGACCGCACACAAGUCUGUUGGAAUACAGCGGCAUAGUGGUGAGACCCCCGUAUAUGGUGCGGACGCCCAGCGCUUUGUGAUACAUUUUCGAAGAGUCGAGUUGUUUGGGAAUGCAGCUCAAAUUGGGUGGUAAAUUCCAUCUAAAGCUAAAUAUUGGCGAGAGACCGAUAGCGAACAAGUACCGUGAGGGAAAGAUGAAAAGCACUUUGGAAAGAGAGUUAACAGUACGUGAAAUUGUUGGAAGGGAAACGCUUGAAGUCAGACUUGCUUGCCGAGCAAUCGGUUUGCAGGCCAGCAUCAGUUUUCCGGGAUGGAUAAUGGUAGAGAGAAGGUAGCAGUUUCGGCUGUGUUAUAGCUCUCUGCUGGAUACAUCUUGGGGGACUGAGGAACGCAGUGUGCCUUUGGCGGGGGUUUCGACCUCUUCACACUUAGGAUGCUGUGAACCAACGCGUG
rnacentral:rRNA from 1 species